UCUUAUUUUAAAAAUAAAAAUAAAAAUAAAAAUAUUUUUAUGUUUUAAAAUACUUAUAAAAUAAAAAUAUUUUUAUAUUUUAUUUUCAAAAUUAACUAUUACAAAAUCUUAAUAUUACAAAAUUAAGCUUCUGUUCUUCCUCCCCCAACCUUCUGUCCGUCCAACCUUCUGUUCGUCCGCCGGAAAUUGAGCUAAAAAGGUUUUAAGCAAAACUUAAUGUCUUUUAGCUUCAAGAUUGGGCAAAAAUCCGGCCAGAUCCCGGCCAGAACAACCCAGAAUGACAAAUCUCACCGAUGACUGUGUUACCGAGCAAAUCCAACCGCAGAUCUAAUCGAUCACAAAUCUCACCGAAAGACAUGGUGUUCACAAAUCUCUCUCUCUACUUCUUCAACAGAAGCCACUGUUCUGAUAUAGGAUGCGUACAACAAUGGUAGACAACGGUGAUGGAAGAACCGAGGAAAGCCAGGAAGAACGGUGAUGGAAGAACUGAUUAAGCAGAGUGCUUGUUUUUCUUUUUGUUUAAGUAAUUUAUCAAUUUAUUUAAUUGGUGUAAUGGUUUAGUUUUGUAAUUUACUAAAUUUGUUUGAUUGUUAUAAUUG
rnacentral:lncRNA from 1 species